rnacentral:rRNA from 1 species
UAGAGUGUAGUAGGGGAUGAUGGAAUUCCCUAGUGUAGAGGUGAAAUUCUUAGAUAUUAGGAGGAACACCGGUGGCGAAGGCGGUCAUCUGGGCUACAACUGACGCUAAUGCACGAAAGCGUGGGGAGCAAACAGGAUUAGAUACCCUGGUAGUCCACGCCGUAAACGAUGAGUGCUAGAUAUCGGAAGAUUAUCUUUCGGUUUCGCAGCUAACGCAUUAAGCACUCCGCCUGGGGAGUACGGUCGCAAGAUUAAA